ACCUACGGGGGGCAGCAGUGGGGAAUAUUGGGCAAUGGGCGCAAGCCUGACCCAGCAACGCCGCGUGAAGGAAGAAGGCUUUCGGGUUGUAAACUUCUUUUGUCAGGGACGAAGCAAGUGACGGUACCUGACGAAUAAGCCACGGCUAACUACGUGCCAGCAGCCGCGGUAAUACGUAGGUGGCAAGCGUUAUCCGGAUUUACUGGGUGUAAAGGGCGUGUAGGCGGGACUGCAAGUCAGAUGUGAAAAACACGGGCUCAAACUGGGGCAUGCCUUUGAAACUGUAGUUCUUGA
rnacentral:rRNA from 1 species